UGGUAUUUUCUGGCGUCCCUGCUUGUCACCGGCGCCAUUUUCCGCAAUCACGUUUUUUCAAUCGCGCGUUGUGUAACUAAUAGCCCCCAUAAAUGGCUCAAAGCAAGUUGAACGACCUGGCCGGCAAGUUCGGCAAAGGGGGCCCGCCCGGCCUGGGGCUCGGACUCAAACUUCUGGCCGUUGGUGGCGCCGCAGCUUACGGUAUCUCGCAAGCCAUGUACACCGUCGAAGGGGGCCACCGGGCCAUCAUGUUCAACCGCAUUGGGGGCGUCCAGAAGGACAUUUACACUGAGGGGCUGCAUUUCCGCGUGCCGUGGUUCCAGUACCCCAUCAUUUACGACAUUCGGUCAAGGCCGCGUAAGAUCUCCUCGCCAACGGGGUCGAAAGACUUGCAGAUGGUGAAUAUUUCGCUGAGGGUGCUCUCAAGGCCGAAUGCCAGCCAACUGCCGAUUGUUUAUAGACAGUUGGGGCUGGAUUAUGAUGAGAAGGUUUUGCCUUCGAUUUGCAACGAGGUGCUGAAGUCGGUUGUUGCGAAGUUUAACGCAGCUCAGUUGAUUACACAAAGACAGCAAGUUUCGCUUUUGGUUAGGAGGGAAUUGACUGAAAGGGCGCGCGAUUUUAAUAUAAUUCUGGACGAUGUUUCCAUUACUGAGCUUUCCUUCGGGAAGGAAUACACGGCUGCGGUUGAAGCCAAACAGGUGGCGCAACAGGAAGCCCAAAGGGCUGCGUUUAUUGUCGAGAAAGCCAAGCAGGAAAGGCAGCAAAAGAUUGUCCAAGCGGAGGGCGAAGCCGAAGCCGCAAAAAUGUUAGGUGAAGCAAUUUCCAAAAAUCCGGGCUAUUUGAAAUUGAGGAAAAUCCGCGCGGCUCAGAAUAUUUCACGAACCAUUGCCAACUCGCAAAAUAAAGUGUACCUCAGUGGUAACAGUCUAAUGUUGAAUAUCUCUGAUAAGGAGUUUGAUGACCAGUCUGAUAAGCUCAAACGUAAGGAUUGAGUCUAGGUUUAAGUUCGUAGUGAGUGAGUGAAAAACUUUUAUAAGAAUAUUUCUUUGUUACUAUUUGUAAAAAUAUUCCUAAGUCUCAAAUAAAUGCGUAAUGAAUAUGAUGACACGACGCGAAGUGCUGAUAAAAAUGUGCUCAGGACAGCACGGAAAAUGGCAACAAGGAUUGCUGGAUAAGGGCGGAAUUUUCACGCAUGUAGAUUUUAUAUUUUGGUUAUUGUUGCUUAAUAAACGUUUUUAACACCUUUAUUAAAA